rnacentral:rRNA from 1 species
UACGAAGGGGGCUAGCGUUGCUCGGAAUGACUGGGCGUAAAGGGCGCGUAGGCGGCGAUCACAGUCAGAUGUGAAAUUCCUGGGCUUAACCUGGGGGCUGCAUUUGAUACGUGGUUGCUUGAGUGGGGAAGAGGGUCGUGGAAUUCCCAGUGUAGAGGUGAAAUUCGUAGAUAUCAGGAGGAACACCGGUGGCGAAGGCGGCUUCCUGGCCUGUUCUUGACGCUGAGGCGCGAAAGCUAGGGUAGCAAACGGG